UACGGAGGGUGCAAGCGUUAUCCGGAUUCACUGGGUUUAAAGGGUGCGUAGGUGGGUCUGAAAGUCAGUGGUGAAAUCUCCGGGCUUAACUCGGAAACUGCCAUUGAUACUAUCUGUCUUGAAUACCGUGGAGGUCAGCGGAAUAUGUCAUGUAGCGGUGAAAUGCUUAGAUAUGACAUAGAACACCAAUUGCGAAGGCAGCUCACUAAGCAAAUAUUGACGCUGAGGCACGAAAGCGUGGGGAUCAAAACAGG
rnacentral:rRNA from 1 species